rnacentral:rRNA from 1 species
UACGAAGGGUGCAAGCGUUAAUCGGAAUUACUGGGCGUAAAGCGCGCGUAGGUGGUUUGUUAAGUUGGAUGUGAAAUCCCCGGGCUCAACCUGGGAACUGCAUUCAAAACUGACAAGCUAGAGUAUGGUAGAGGGUGGUGGAAUUUCCUGUGUAGCGGUGAAAUGCGUAGAUAUAGGAAGAACACCGAUGGCGAAGGCAGUCGACUGGUCCACUACUGACGCUCAUGCUCGAAAGCGUGGGGAUCAAACAGGAUUAGAAACCCUGGUAGU